AUGAACGCUAGCGGCAGGCCUAAUACAUGCAAGUCGAACGGGCGAUAGCAAUAUCGCUAGUGGCGCACGGGUGCGUAACGCGUAACCAACCUGCCCUUGACUGGGGGAUAGCCCGCCGAAAGGCGGAUUAAUACCGCAUAACCCCACAACACGGCAUCGUGUACUGGGUAAAGAUUUAUUGGUCAAGGAUGGGGUUGCGUAGCAUUAGCUAGAUGGCGGGGUAACGGCCCACCAUGGCGACGAUGCUUAGGGGACCUGAGAGGGUGAUCCCCCACACUGGCACUGAGAUACGGGCCAGACUCCUACGGGAGGCAGCAGUAGGGAAUAUUGGGCAAUGGGCGAGAGCCUGACCCAGCCAUGCCGCGUGCCGGAUGAAGGCCUUCUGGGUUGUAAACGGCUUUUCUCAGGGAAGAAAAAGAGGAUGCGUCCUAAACUGACGGUACCUGAGGAAUAAGCACCGGCUAACUCCGU
rnacentral:rRNA from 1 species